AAGAAAAUGAAUGCAUUGGUAUCCCUGCUGUCAUGGUUGAUUUUCUCUGCCAACUUGACUGGGUCGUGGGGUGCCCAGACAUUUGGGUGCCCAGAUAUUUGGUCAAGUGUUAUUCUGGAUAUGUCUGUGAGGUCGUUUCUGGGUGAGACUAACACUUGAAUCAGUAGAUUGAGUGAAGCAGAUGCCCUCCCUAAUGUGGAUGGGCCUCAUCCAAUCAACUGGAACAGAACACAAAGGGAGUAAGGGAGAAUUCACUCUCUCUGCUUGACUGCUUUCCAGCUGGGACAUCGGUCUUCCUCUACCUUUGGACUCAAAUGGAAACAUCGGCUUUUCCUGGGUCUUGAGUUUAUUGGCCUUUGGGCAUAAAUAUACCAGCAGCUCUGCUGACUCCCAGGCCUUCGGACUCAAACUGGAAAUACACCAUUGCUCUCCUGAUCUCCAGCCUGUUGAUGCAGAAAUUGGGACUUAUCAGCUUCGUGAGUGACAGUGCCUGGCUCUGAGGAACACAGUGACUAUUAGUGCAGUCUGAUGUUGCUGCAUGUGUGCCGACAUUACCAGUUUUACCCACCACGGCUUUACACCAACGUCAACACAGUGGAAAAGAUGGUGUCAGAAGUGGGAUCUGAAGAAGAGCUUCUAAUGACCCCCAGGAGCACUGAGUGAACAUGCAAGGUAACUGCAGGACCCACUUGUAUCCACUAAUCUCUCGGAGCGGCUGGAGAUAGUGGCCACUGCCAUCAUCCUUCUUCUCUGAUCCAAGGGUAAUGAAGAAGGAAGAGUUAUUAUUGCAAAGAAGAUAAACAAACAACACUGGAAAAAACCUUUCUUCAGGGGAAGAACUUCUGAACUGAUUUGUUGUUUGUGCACUUGUUUGUUUCACACAACAUCGCAUGAAUAAAAUUAGCAGUGGAAAAGCAGCUUGUAAUAUGUCCUGAUGUUACAAGGGUCAUGCCAGGGUUCCCA
rnacentral:lncRNA from 1 species